rnacentral:rRNA from 1 species
AUGAGAUCAUUGAAAUGUGUGGUGGCCAAUGGGGUGGUGUACUUUUUAAUGGACUUUUACUCCACUUAUCGUAAAACUGGAGUUAUGACCAUUGAACCUGCUAGUGUCGCUUCAUUUAACCUCGAGACGGAGGAAUGGGGUGUUCUACGUGGUCCAGAACAGGUGCAGAGGUUUGUCCAAGAGGACAAGCUUUCCAGUUACUUCGAACUUGAACUCCUGUUAUCAUUGGCUGAGUUGAACGGCUGCUUAGUUAUGGUUCAUAAUAUUCAGACGCUAUCAAAGGACUUGUGGUUUUUGACAGAUUUUAAGAGGUGUGUCUGGGUUAAGAAAUACAGCAUGCCUCCACAUGUUUCUCGGUUUGGGCAUCCUUUUCUGAUGUUAGAUGAUGGGAGAAUUUUCUUCGUUCGGUUGGAUCAUCGACAAGGUUUCUUUAGUGCUUUAGAGCAUGGAGACGGAUUUCUGCAAAGUUAUGAUCCAAGAAAUGACACUUAUGCUGAUGCACUAAAACUGAAAGGUUCCAAAUUCAUUGGUGUUUACACAGAAAUGUUCACCUUAUGUUGGUGA